rnacentral:rRNA from 1 species
GAUGAACGCUAGCGAUAGGCCUAACACAUGCAAGUCGAGGGGCAUCACAUGAAGUAGCAAUACGGAUGGUGGCGACCGGCGCACGGGUGAGUAACACGUAUGCAACCUGCCUUCAACAAGGGGAUAACCCGUUGAAAGACGGACUAAUACCCUAUAACACAGGGGUCCCGCAUGGGAAUAUUUGUUAAAGGACAACCGGUUGAAGAUGGGCAUGCGUUCCAUUAGCUAGUUGGCGGGUAACGGCCCACCAAGGCAACGAUGGAUAGGGGAACUGAGAGGUUUAUCCCCCACACUGGUACUGAGACACGGACCAGACUCCUACGGGAGGCAGCAGUGAGGAAUAUUGGUCAAUGGACGCAAGUCUGAACCAGCCACGUCGCGUGAAGGAAGACGGCCCUACGGGUUGUAAACUUCUUUUGCAAGGGAAUAAAGUGGGCCACGUGUGGCCUUUUGCAAGUACCUUGCGAAUAAGGAUCGGC